rnacentral:rRNA from 1 species
AUGCAGUCGACGAGAAGUACCUUCGGGUGCGAGUACAGUGGCGGACGGGUGAGUAACGCGUAGGAAUAUACCUAGUAGUGGGGGACAACUCGGGGAAACUCGAGCUAAUACCGCAUACGCUCUACGGAGGAAAGUGGGGGAUCUUCGGACCUCACGCUAUUGGAGUAGCCUGCGUUGGAUUAGCUAGUUGGUGGGGUAAAGGCCCACCAAGGCGACGAUCUAUAGCUGGUCUGAGAGGACGAUCAGCCACACUGGAACUGAGACACGGUCCAGACUCCUACGGGAGGCAGCAGUAGGGAAUCUUGGUCAAUGGGCGAAAGCCUGAACCAGCGAUGCCGCGUGUGUGAAGAAGGCCCUAGGGUUGUAAAGCACUUUCAGCAGUGAAGAAAUGCCGGGAGCUAAUACCUCACCGGUUUUGACGUUAACUGCAGAAGAAGCACCGGCUAACUCCGUGCCAGCAGCCGCGGUAAUACG